rnacentral:lncRNA from 1 species
ACCCGGGAGGUGGAGGUUGCAGUGAGCUGAGAUCGCGCCACUGCACUCCAGCCUGGGCGACAGAGUGAGACUCUGUCUCAAAAUAAUAACAAUAAUCAUAAUAAGGCCGGGCGCGGUGGCUCACACCUGUAAUCCCAGCACUUAGGGAGGCCGAGGCUGGUGGAACACUUGAGGUCGGGAGUUCAAAACCAGCCAGGCCAACAAGGCGAAACCCUGUCUCUACUAAAAAUACAAAAAAAGUAGCCAGCCAUGGUGGUGUGUGCCUGUAAUCUCAGCUAUUCAGGAGGCUGAGGUGAGAGAAUCCUUUGAACCCGGGAGGCGGAGGUUGCAGUGAGCCGAGAUCGUGCUACUGCACUCAAGCCUGGGCGACAGAGCAGGACUCCGUCUCAAAAUUAAUAAGUGCCCAGCCUUAAAAACAGUGGCUCACGCCUGUAAUCCCAGAACUCUGGGAGGCCGAGGCAGGAGGAUUGCUUUAGCCCAGGAGUUUGAGACCAGCCCAGACAAUAUACUAAGACCAUGUCUCUAUUUAAAAAAAAAAAAAAUGGCCAGGAGAGGUGGCUUA